CCGCACCCCACCCCCAGCUCCGGCGCGCGCUCGCGCACCGCACCAGGCGCUGCCCGGCCUCUCAGCUCCCGGACGUUGAGCUCCGAGGAAUUAGUUAAUGGGGGUCAGAAUCUCGGGGAAAGCAGCAACCCUCUGGUGCUACCCGGCGUCUCUUGGCAAAGCCUCUUAGGAGCUGUACCAAAUAAACAGCUUGAUUUCAUGUGUUAGCAGUGCAAACAUUUAUAAAGAAGAAAGACACUUUCAGUCUCCAGAAUACAGCAUCUGCCUCUCUCACACUUCUUCGGGUCUCUGAUUCUGGAUCAUGAGCCUACAGAAUCAGAACUUCAUAAAAGAGUUUGAUCAAGCAGAAGAUAGCUUUCAAGAGAAUCGUCACUCAGUAAUAGAGCACUUCUGGAAAUAUUUCCCACUAUGAAGAAUAUUAUUUUUAAAAAGAAAAGAAAAGAAACAACUCCAAGAACAGUCUAACAACACUAGUGAAAGUCCAGAAACCAACCAUUCACACUCAGUUGCAGAAUUCUUUUUGUUCAGCAUUUUGCUCAGUUUUGCUGAAAGAAAGAAAUUUUAAUUUGUACUCAGAUGUGCGAAGACGUGACCGACGCCAAAUAUCCUUAGCUGGACUCUUCUAGCACUCUUUUAACUUAAAUAAAUUCAAGAGGCACUUGUGUGGUCUAAAAGAUUGUCCAGAUGAAACGAGGCUGAAAUGUUAUGCGAAGGGGGAGGGGAGCGCGUGAAUAGCAUCAGUGA